AAGAAAGUCACAAGAACUGCUAACUCUUGACACCGUACCUAACCGUACGGCUUUCU
rnacentral:tRNA from 1 species